rnacentral:lncRNA from 7 species
AGUAAGAUGUUGAAGCAGACAAGCAGCUGAUCAGAGAACUGCUGUGAAUUCUGAGACUAAUCCUGUUGAGACACUUUUGCCUGAAGACUCUCCUCCUGCAGCAGAUGAAGAACUGACAUCAUUCAAGGUUGCCUUCAUUCCACUGCUCCCUGCCUGGCUGAAGAAACCCAAAUGGGCAGUGUCACACAUCGUCUCUCCCAGGACUCACCCUGCAUCUUUUCAGAGCUGCAGCCUUUCGUCUCUUCUUGUCCUCAGGACUCAGCAGUGCCUCAAGCUGUGCGAGGUCAUGGCAAUAGGAAUGCUGGAGCAGAGGAGGCUGUCAUAGCAGAUGGGACUUCAGCACCUGUGGACCAGCAGCAGCUGCUUGCAGGCUGCAGAUGCUAGAACAACAAGUGGUAGGGUGGGAAGAGGCUGAAAAUGAAGACCUCAAUGAGGACGAGGAGAAGCAUAAACGCCAGAAGUUUGCAGAUGAGCAGAGGAUGCAGCUAGUGACUGUGCUGCAGAAAUCCGAUAAUGACAGCAGUGAUUUGGUUCUGCUUAACAUCUACGACUCCGUCCAGGAGGAGGUUUGAGCCAAGAGCAAACUUCUGGAGAAGAUGCAGAAGCUGUGAGCUGCUAAGACAGAAAUAAAAAAUCUGCAGACAGUUUGAGCUGGAAAAGAUCGGUUAUCUCAGCACUAACCACAAUCUGGAGUGAGACGUGAUGCUCUUCCAGCAGCUGCUGGAUCAGGUGCAGUCCCUCAUCCAGCGGGACUGCAACUACAGCAAUCUGGAGAAGAUCAAGUGCGAGUCCGUCUGGGAUGAGGAGUCUGGCUGCUGGAAAAUUUCAGAGCCUGGCAUUCAGAAAAACCACCUGCCCGCAGGUAAGAGGAGUGUCGGGGUCACAGUGCCAUCCCCUGGCUUCUCCUGGGCUCACCAGCAGGUCAAUAAACAGCAAUUGAAC